GUGAAUCAUCAAAUCUUUGAACGCGAAUUGCACUCUCUUCGGAGAGUAUGCCUGUCUGAGGGCCAGCCUAAAAAAAAACGACAUAGUGGCUGUUUCGCGGUAACAUUGGUCGGAAAUUGGGUUAUCUUAAACCUUUGGGUAUUAAGCGUAUUAAAAUUUUUUUUACGAUUUUAGGAAGGAUUCUAAGAUUUAUUAACUCGUUUAAGGUA
rnacentral:misc_RNA from 1 species